rnacentral:rRNA from 1 species
AGCCAUGGCAAUACCACCCUGCACUCGCCCGAUCUCAUCUGAUCUCAGAAGCUAAGCAGGGUCGGGCCUGGUUAGUACUUGGAUGGGAAUACAGCCUCAGCUGGGCGUGGUCG